AUGGACAAGACUCAGAUCAAUCUCUCUGUUCCAGAUCCAUCUGCUUGUGUCCAAAUGAAAGCUCAGCCUGCCUGUCUUGCAUUUCCUCUUGUGUCAUCCUCAGCUCCAGUUCAAGGAAGAAAAAACUCAGCUGUUCAUCCUUCAUCACAACUCUUAGCUGUUAAUCAACAAUCUCUCCCUCUUUUGGAGCAGCUCAGCUGUUCUGCUGCAGGCCUAAUUAUAAUUACUGGGAUUUGUCAAGACUGUGAAGUGUUUGUGGAUAUGCAUCGUCUUGUUGGACUGAAUGAAGAGGGCUGUGCUCAUCUUCCAUUAUUUCCAGCCCCAUGACUGGGCUCACCAUGACAGGUAUGUGGCUGUGAUAUCUGGAAGAACAAAGUGAGAGGAUGUUAGCAACAGGUCACUGGGCACAGAAAACCGUGCUGUCAGGAGGCCCAAUGAUCAAAGUCAAGUAAAUGCUAAAUUCAAUCACAGAUGCAAAUAUUUUAUAAAGCUCCAU
rnacentral:lncRNA from 1 species